ensembl:lncRNA
GUACCGUCACCUGGGUACUUCCUGUACCGUCACCUGGGUACUUCCUGUACCGUCACCUGGAGUUAUCCCCUUUCCUUCACACACACCUCGCCAAACGCCCCCCCCCCCCUCCAUGCAGUGCCAGUCCUCCCCCCUAGCAUAUCAGACGCUCUCCGCAUCGAGUCGCAGGCGUGUGUGUACAAAGAGGUGCUCCCUUCAGACACACACUGUUUGGUCCAUCCAUCGCCAUAGCGACACUAUCCUCUUGUUUAUCUGCAAUGUUGGUGACAAAACAAAGACCAAACAGGAAGAAACCGCGGAUCAACUUUGGGCGUCGAUGUGCCGAAAACAACAACAAUGGGUUUUGAGCGGAUCUCUUGUUUACAAAGGACUGUGGGCACAAAUGAUAUCUCACAUCUUAGCAUUGUCCCCUUUCUGUGUAUGUGUGUUUGCGAGUGUGUGUGUGUGCGUGUGUGUGUGUGUGCAUGAUUGUACAAAGUGUGCGCAGUCCGGCCCCUCCAGAAUCACCGGGGCUGGCGUUUUACAGCAUGCGGAGAGAGCUGUAGAUUUCACAGUGCUUUGCUUUGGUACAAUUACCAGAAAUCUGUACAGUAAGCUGUUGGAUUUGACACACUUUGCAGAGUUUAAUGUUCUCACAUUAUAUUCUGUGUAACAUUGUGUGGGCGUUUCUUUUUGCUCUGAGAGUUCCCGUUUGAACACUGUUCCCGAUGACGGAUUGGUGCUCGGUUGCACAGCAGUAGUUAUCUGACAGUGGACAGGAGUCCUCUCACCAAGCCAAGCUCAACAUGAACAGGGUUACUGUGUUAAGUUAUAGCCACUAUUACCGUUUAGAGCCAUUAUUGUUAGAGUUAUUCUGAAUAUGAUUCUCUGGAGGGUUUUCCAUUUAUGGUCUAGUAGUGAAUGACUCCGAGAAAGGCUUUGGAUCUUCCAUUUUAGUUUUAAUUUUUAUGAUAUGAAAUGAUGGAACUGAAGGCGCUCAAAACUGUGUAUAUAAACAGGGCCUUUCCCUGCUCCCUUUGUUUGUUUUGUUCUUAUUUUAUAGACAAUAUAUUUACACUUAUUGUAUGGUUUUCUUCAAGAAAAAAAAAAAUACUGUCAGUUGAAUCAAGGGCAGCCAGUCCAUGCGUGUGUUGUCGUCGGGGGCAACGCUGUGUGUGCGUCUGUGUGUCUUUGUGUGUCUGGGUCUUUGGAGGGAAUGACAGCUCCCGACAGGUACGGAAUCAGAGAGAGAGAGAGACAGAGAGAGAGAGAGAGACAGAGAGAGAGGGAGAGAGAGAGAGAGAGAGAGAGAGAGAGAGAGGUGGGGCCGGAACAGCUAAUAAAAGAUAAGGAUCCGUUUGGCUCGGCCAAUCGGACGAGGGCGAGGGGGCGGGAGCUUGGUGCAGACCUCCCAGCCAGACACGGACAGCCAGCUGUGAGCCUCCGCUCAGAUGAGUCCGAACACAGCAGGGGCUGAAUCCCACCCUGACCCCAUGGCUGAGCCCCGGACCCCGGCCUCACGGCCACCUGGCCCCUCCUUCCCCUAGCCCCUCCCUCCAUCGCUCCCUCCACCCCCCACUCUGCAGCAGUUGUUCACAGUUUGUGUCUUCGGUUCCGACCCCGUCGGCGGCGGUGGCGGGUGGGGGGGAGCCCCCUGCGACGGUGGUCCCGUUACACCCUGAGACGCGUGGGGGGGGGGGGGGUAACGAUAACCGCCCCCCCAUCAACGCCAGACCCCCCCAACGUCUGGCUGUGAGGACACUUCCCCUCCGACAUGUUUCCUCAGAGGACAAUACUUUGUACGAUUUUGUCAUUAUUUGUCUGAUUUUUCUACGUUUUGCGUUGCUAUCUUCCAGGGCUCCAAACAGCCUCUUGCACAUGUGAUCAUUAUUUAACGUGUUGUCACUCGCCCCCCCCCCUCUGAGACCUCCACACUACGGUUGAGGGGAUUUGGUCACAAUCAAUAUUUCACAUGGAGCGACGCUGUGUAACAUGUGACGGCAGAGAGAGAGUGAGAGAGAGAGAGCGAGAGAGAGCGAGAGAUUGGGAGCGAGAGUUAGAGAGCGAGAGAGAGCGAGGCGAGAGAUUGAGAGUGAGAGAGAGAGAGAGAGAGAGAGAGAGAGAGAGAGCGAGAGAGAGAGCGAGAGCGAGAGCGAGAGAGAGAGAGAGAGAGAG